AUUGAACGCUGGCGGCAGGCUUAACACAUGCAAGUCGAGCGGGGUGAUGGUGCUUGCACUAUCACUUAGCGGCGGACGGGUGAGUAAUGCUUAGGAAUCUGCCUAUUAGUGGGGGACAACAUCUCGAAAGGGAUGCUAAUACCGCAUACGUCCUACGGGAGAAAGCAGGGGCUCACUUGUGACCUUGCGCUAAUAGAUGAGCCUAAGCCGGAUUAGCUAGUUGGUGGGGUAAAGGCCUACCAAGGCGACGAUCUGUAGCGGGUCUGAGAGGAUGAUCCGCCACACUGGGACUGAGACACGGCCCAGACUCCUACGGGAGGCAGCAGUGGGGAAUAUUGGACAAUGGGGGGAACCCCGAUCCAGCCAUGCCGCGUGUGUGAAGAAGGCCUUAUGGUUGUAAAGCACUUUAAGCGAGGAGGAGGCUCUUUUGGUUAAUACCCAAGAUGAGUGGACGUUACUCGCAGAAUAAGCACCGGCUAACUCUGUGCCAGCAGCCGCCGUAA
rnacentral:rRNA from 1 species